GAUGUUUUGACAGAUGGAGUUGGAAUCAAAAAGUCCGAAUGACUCCGAAUCGAAUGGAAGCAUUCAGAUUCGAACAUGUUUAAGUGGUGGGGAUAUGAGCUACUUUUGGGGGAUACACACAAUAAAACAAUAUUUGUAGGCAAUGCUAUCCGCAACGGGGGGUUACGUUAAGGGACGGCUCCUACUAAAUCGAGGUGCCUCUAUACCAACGGAGUUCAUGUACGUUACCUGAACAAAGGAAUAGUGGUGGUUUUGGUACGUUUAGGUAGCGGUAGGAAUGCGAACCAGAAGUACUAGGCAUAGUUGCAAACAGAUAGUCGGAGUGUCAAAAUCAAGUCGUUGAGAGUAAAUUUGUUCUGUACAGGCUGAAAAUUCGAAGAAACUUUCGUAAAAAGUUAAGAAACAAAAUUCAAAAUUGUGUGGGUUCGGGUCAAAGAGGCAGGACGACGACGACGACAGCGUCGCCCGGAUGAAGAAGCAACAUAAAGGGCACAAAACAAACGUUGAGUCAGGUGCACGAGAAGCUGUAACAAAAAAUUAAGUGAUGAGUACCUAGAAAUAAGUUUAAAAAUAAAAAGUGCAAACUCCUAAUCUUUAAAAAAAAAUAUAAAACUAGAAGUAAUUGUGAAUAAUCACUCUAUAACAAAACCUAAUUUGAACUCCGAAAAAGCCGAGACCGAACCCCACAUUUUAAAAAUUCAAACAUUAGUGCGAAAAUUCGAAAGUCGAAAGUUCACUUCGAAUCAAAAUAUAAAAACUUAAAUCGAAAGCUUUUGGCAUCGAGGGCACGAACCCAAAAUUAUCAAAAUCGCCAACCGGAUGCCCAGAAGAGCGGCCAUCAUUGAAAAACGCAACUAGACGUUUAAUUUGAAAUAUUUAUUUUGAGCGUUGGCAUAAUUUUUAUUUUAAAUUGUUUUUAUUUAAUGUUUUAUUGUUUAAAUUUUUAACUUAAGUGAUAAGAAACCAAAAGGGUGUUGCGGGUAGGGCGUGACGUCGUCGUACGGGAGCGACAAGGGCGAACCAGUUUCAUCCGACGAUAGUAGUUUGUUUUUAUCACCCCAAUUGAGGUGCAAACCCCCCUAAAAAGCGCUUUAUAGGUAGGGUAAUUAAUAUUUGGUGCAAAAUUGCAAAGUUGAAAGUUCGGGCGAGGCUGGGCUCGAAAUAUAGACCCUACAAUUAUUGUGUCGCUGAAGUGCGAAGGGGAGAGUGACACUUCUCUGGCCGAAUCUAAAGUCCAGAGACGUGUACAGCCCCAGUGUGGAUGCAAAGGUCCACCGACGAAGGAGUCGACUUGCAUCACAUCUUGGUAGUUCUUAAAAUCUUUUAAAUCUUUAUAUUUAAAUCAUAUUUUCAUUUUAAAUUGUUUAUUUUUGGUCAAAUACAUAAUUAUUGUAGUGAUUUUACCUUUUUACCUGUUUUUUUUGUUGCAUUUAGUGUAUACUCAAAUGGAGUUACACGGGUGCAAGUCAUACAGUACAAAUUAUAAUACUUAUUGU